UACGGAGGGUGCAAGCGUUAUCCGGAUUCACUGGGUUUAAAGGGAGCGUAGGUGGGAUGGUAAGUCAGUGGUGAAAUCUCCGGGCUUAACUCGGAAACUGCCGUUGAUACUAUCAUUCUUGAAUAUUGUGGAGGUAAGCGGGAUAUGUCAUGUAGCGGUGAAAUGCUUAGAUAUGACAUAGAACACCAAUAGCGAAGGCAGCUUGCUACACAAUUAUUGACACUGAGGCUCGAAAGCGUGGGGAUCAGACAGG
rnacentral:rRNA from 1 species